GCUCUGUCUGCCUUGGGAAGAUGGAGAGGGCUGAGAUGGCUUCUGUGUCUUCUUGGCUUUGAGGAAUGACACACGGUGAGGUUCUCGGAAAAGUUCCAGGGAAGUCAUUAUGCCCUUAGAGGCUGUUCUGUUUCCAGCAACUCAAAAUGUUGGGGCUGUCAAAAAAGAAAAUUCCCUCUGAAAAGAUGGGCAAUUCUAUCUUGGUCCACGACACAUGCACUAGACAAAUCACAGGAGAGAAACAGGAAGGCACCACUGGAAGAUGUACAGAUCCCACAUUUGACAACAGAAGGCGCCAUCAGGAAAUGAGAGUUUGGAUGGAGAUUCCCACUAAUGGAGGAAGGCCAGCAGAGAAACAAGGAAACACACCUCCACCCCGCCCACCUCUGGUGGGGUGUUUAUUCAGGUGAACAACCUGCUUCACUCUACCAGCCACUCCAUAUGCAAUGCCUGCAGGGGAGAAAGAUCCUGCAUAACAUGCCCUUAUCUAAUGACUCACGGGCAUUCAAUAUCUGACUAUUGAACUACUAUUUUCAAAAAUUUAUAGAAAAUAGUCACUAAUGCCAACAACUUUGGCUCUGUGGCAAAUCAGGGGAGGAGAUUUGGGGGGGGGCAUUUGGGAUUUUCUUCUUUUUGACUCUUCU